rnacentral:lncRNA from 1 species
GAAGGACACUUAAAAAGACUGCAUGCCAAUAUUGAUUCUGAAGGAAACUAUGAAUGCAAGAAAUGCGGCUGGUCCUUGGGCAAGUCAAUCGGGGAAUUAGUUGAGCAUAUGCAAUCUGAACACAAUUCCAAGGGAAAGAAAAUGAGACCCUGGCAGAUUUUCUCGUGUCCUUUUUGUCAACAAGUUUUUCCUUCCAAGAGGUUUGUAGAAACACACGUCGAAAAAUGGCAUGCCGGUGUUGAUUCCGAAGGAAAUUAUGUAUGCAAGGUUUGCGGCUUAUCCGUGGGCAAGUCAAUCGAAGAAUUAGACGAGCAUAUGCAUUCUGAACACAAUUCCGGAGCGAAUGCAUUUGUGUGUCCGGAAUGCAAAAAACCUUUCAGCAAUGAGCGACUGUUAAAAAAGCACAUGGAUGGGCAUAUACGCGUUCGAGAAGAAAGAUUCAAAUGUACAAUUUGCAAGAAACAGCCCAUUUUCACGCAACGUCACAACUACAUGGAUCACAUGGAGAAAUAUCAUAAUCCCAAUCCAGGAAGUUACAAAUGCGAUGUGGUCGAUUGUGGAGAAACUUUCUCAACCAAAAAGCUGCUAAGGGACCACAAAACCAUGAAACACACUGAUAAAAUGACGUGCCCUAUUUGCCAUAAAGUCUACAGUCGAGUUGAUGGGUUGAAGCAGCAUAUCAAAACGCAACAUCCAUAGGAACUUUCAGCGGACGGAAAAAAGAAAACUCAUAAUUAGUAGAGGCUGUUUUGUAGGCUGAACUAAACAUCAGCCAAUCCAUCAAAGCUUACAAAUAAUUAAAUAAAUUA